rnacentral:rRNA from 1 species
AUUGAACGCUGGCGGCAUGCCUUACACAUGCAAGUCGAACGGCAGCACGGGAGCAAUCCUGGUGGCGAGUGGCGAACGGGUGAGUAAUAUAUCGGAACGUGCCCAGUCGUGGGGGAUAACGUAGCGAAAGCUACGCUAAUACCGCAUACGAUCUAUGGAUGAAAGCGGGGGAUCGCAAGACCUCGCGCGAUUGGAGCGGCCGAUAUCAGAUUAGGUAGUUGGUGGGGUAAAAGCCUACCAAGCCUUCGAUCUGUAGCUGGUCUGAGAGGACGACCAGCCACACUGGAACUGAGACACGGUCCAGACUCCUACGGGAGGCAGCAGUGGGGAAUUUUGGACAAUGGGCGCAAGCCUGAUCCAGCAAUGCCGCGUGCAGGAUGAAGGCCUCGGUUGUAAC